rnacentral:rRNA from 1 species
CCUACGGGAGGCAGCAGUGGGGAAUAUUGCACAAUGGGGGAAACCCUGAUGCAGCAACGCCGCGUGAGUGAAGACGUACUUCGGUUUGUAAAGCUCUAUCUUCAGGGACGAUAAUGACGGUACCUGACUAGGAAGCCACGGCUAACUACGUGCCAGCAGCCGCGGUAAUACGUAGGUGGCGAGCGUUAUCCGGAUUUACUGGGCGUAAAGGGAGCGUAGGCGGAAUUUUAAGUCAGAUGUGAAAUACUGGGGCUCAACUUCAGUGCUGCAUUUGAAACUGGAAGUCUAGAGUGCAGGAGAGGAGAAUGGAAUUCCUAGUGUAGCGGUGAAAUGCGUAGAGAUUAGGAAGAACACCAGUGGCGAAGGCGAUUUUCUGGACUGUAACUGACGUUGAGGCUCGAAAGCGUGGGGAGCAAACAGGAUUAGAUACCCGGGUAGUC